UCUUAGCGGCGGACGGGUGAGUAACGUGUGGGUAACCUGCCUUAUACUGUGGAAUAAUCAUGAGAAAUCGUGACUAAUACCGCAUGUGGUCUUCGGAAGGCAUCUUCUGAAGAAGAAAGGAUUUAUUCGGUAUAAGAUGGACCCGCAUCUGAUUAGCUAGUUGGUGAGAUAAUAGCCCACCAAGGCAACGAUCAGUAGCCGACCUGAGAGGGUGAUCGGCCACAUUGGGACUGAGACACGGCCCAAACUCC
rnacentral:rRNA from 1 species